UACGAAAGGGGCAAGCGUUGUUCGGAUUUACUGGGCGUAAAGGGCACGCAGGCGGUCUUGCCAGUCAAGGGUGAAAGCCCGGGGCUCAACCCCGGAACUGCCUCUGAUACUGCAGGACUAGAGACUAGGAGAGGGUGGUGGAAUUCCCAGUGUAGAGGUGAAAUUCGUAGAUAUUGGGAGGAACACCAGAGGCGAAGGCGGCCACCUGGACUAGAUCUGACGCUCAGGUGCGAAAGCGUGGGGAGCAAACAGG
rnacentral:rRNA from 1 species